UACGUAGGCAGCAAGCGUUGUUCGGAGUUACUGGGCGUAAAGGGUGCGUAGGCGGCUUUUUAAGUUUGGUGUGAAAUCUCCCGGCUCAACUGGGAGGGUGCGCCGAAUACUGAGAGGCUAGAGUGUGGGAGAGGAAAGUGGAAUUCCUGGUGUAGCGGUGAAAGGCGUAGAUAUCAGGAGGAACACCGGUGGUGUUAAACGGCUUCUGGACCAUAACUGACGCUGAGGCACGAAAGCGUGGGUAGCAAACAGG
rnacentral:rRNA from 1 species